UUGCAAGUCAGGCUCCUGGCUGGAGUCCAGCUUUCAGCUGGGUCCAGGCUCUAGCCAGGGCCUGACUGCAUG
rfam:Mus musculus chromosome 7, GRC primary reference assembly.